ACUGAGGCGUGAUGACGAGGCACUACGGUGCUGAAGCAACAAAUGCCCUGCUUCCAGGAAAAGCCUCUAAGCAUCAGGUAACAUCAAAUCGUACCCCAAACCGACACAGGUGGUCAGGUAGAGAAUACCAAGGCGCUUGAGAGAACUCGGGUGAAGGAACUAGGCAAAAUGGUGCCGUAACUUCGGGAGAAGGCACGCUGACAUGUAGGUGAAGUGAUUUACUCAUGGAGCUGAAGUCAGUCGAAGAUACCAGCUGGCUGCAACUGUUUAUUAAAAACACAGCACUGUGCAAACACGAAAGUGGACGUAUACGGUGUGACGCCUGCCCGGUGCCGGAAGGUUAAUUGAUGGGGUCAGCGCAAGCGAAGCUCCUGAUCGAAGCCCCGGUAAACGGCGGCCGUAACUAUAACGGUCCUAAGGUAGCGAAAUUCCUUGUCGGGUAAGUUCCGACCUGCACGAAUGGCGUAAUGAUGGCCAGGCUGUCUCCACCCGAGACUCAGUGAAAUUGAACUCGCUGUGAAGAUGCAGUGUACCCGCGGCAAGACGGAAAGACCCCGUGAACCUUUACUAUAGCUUGACACUGAACAUUGAGCCUUGAUGUGUAGGAUAGGUGGGAGGCUUUGAAGUGUGGACGCCAGUCUGCAUGGAGCCGACCUUGAAAUACCACCCUUUAAUGUUUGAUGUUCUAACGUGGACCCGUAAUCCGGGUUGCGGACAGUGUCUGGUGGGUAGUUUGACUGGGGCGGUCUCCUCCUAAAGAGUAACGGAGGAGCACGAAGGUUGGCUAAUCCUGGUCGGACAUCAGGAGGUUAGUGCAAUGGCAUAAGCCAGCUUGACUGCGAGCGUGACGGCGCGAGCAGGUGCGAAAGCAGGUCAUAGUGAUCCGGUGGUUCUGAAUGGAAGGGCCAUCGCUCAACGGAUAAAAGGUACUCCGGGGAUAACAGGCUGAUACCGCCCAAGAGUUCAUAUCGACGGCGGUGUUUGGCACCUCGAUGUCGGCUCAUCACAUCCUGGGGCUGAAGUAGGUCCCAAGGGUAUGGCUGUUCGCCAUUUAAAGUGGUACGCGAGCUGGGUUUAGAACGUCGUGAGACAGUUCGGUCCCUAUCUGCCGUGGGCGCUGGAGAACUGAGGGGGGCUGCUCCUAGUACGAGAGGACCGGAGUGGACGCAUCACUGGUGUUCGGGUUGUCAUGCCAAUGGCACUGCCCGGUAGCUAAAUGCGGAAGAGAUAAGUGCUGAAAGCAUCUAAGCACGAAACUUGCCCCGAGAUGAGUUCUCCCUGAGACUUUAGGUCUCCUGAAGGAACGUUGAAGACGACGACGUUGAUAGGCCGGGUGUGUAAGCGCAGCGAUGCGUUGAGCUAACCGGUACUAAUGAACCGUGAGGCUUAACCUUACA
rnacentral:rRNA from 1 species